UACGUAGGUGGCGAGCGUUGUCCGGAUUUACUGGGCGUAAAGAGCGCGCAGGCGGUCGUUCAAGUCGCGUGUGAAAGCCCCCGGCUCAACUGGGGAGGGUCACGCGAUACUGAUCGACUCGAAGGCAGGAGAGGGAAGUGGAAUUCCCGGUGUAGUGGUGAAAUGCGUAGAUAUCAGGAGGAACACCAAUGGCGAAGGCAGAUCUCUGGGCCGUAACUGACGCUGAGGAGCGAAAGCAUGGGGAGCGAACAGG
rnacentral:rRNA from 1 species